ACAACGGCCCUUUUCAGGGCCAAUCACCAAUUGGUUUUUAUUUUCGU
rfam:Schistosoma mansoni, Puerto Rico, WGS project CABG01000000 data, contig: 0144